GGGUUGUGAGGUUAAGCGACUAAGCGUACACGGUGGAUGCCCUGGCAGUCAGAGGCGAUGAAGGACGUGCUAAUCUGCGAUAAGCGUCGGUAAGGUGAUAUGAACCGUUAUAACCGGCGAUUUCCGAAUGGGGAAACCCAGUGUGAUUCGUCACACUAUCAUUAACUGAAUCCAUAGGUUAAUGAGGCGAACCGGGGGAACUGAAACAUCUAAGUACCCCGAGGAAAAGAAAUCAACCGAGAUUCCCCCAGUAGCGGCGAGCGAACGGGGAGCAGCCCAGAGCCUGAAUCAGUGUGUGUGUUAGUGGAAGCGUCUGGAAAGGCGCGCGAUACAGGGUGACAGCCCCGUACACAAAAAUGCACAUGCUGUGAGCUCGAUGAGUAGGGCGGGACACGUGGUAUCCUGUCUGAAUAUGGGGGGACCAUCCUCCAAGGCUAAAUACUCCUGACUGACCGAUAGUGAACCAGUACCGUGAGGGAAAGGCGAAAAGAACCCCGGCGAGGGGAGUGAAAAAGAACCUGAAACCGUGUACGUACAAGCAGUGGGAGCACGCUUAGGCGUGUGACUGCGUACCUUUUGUAUAAUGGGUCAGCGACUUAUAUUCUGUAGCAAGGUUAACCGAAUAGGGGAGCCGAAGGGAAACCGAGUCUUAACUGGGCGUUAAGUUGCAGGGUAUAGACCCGAAACCCGGUGAUCUAGCCAUGGGCAGGUUGAAGGUUGGGUAACACUAACUGGAGGACCGAACCGACUAAUGUUGAAAAAUUAGCGGAUGACUUGUGGCUGGGGGUGAAAGGCCAAUCAAACCGGGAGAUAGCUGGUUCUCCCCGAAAGCUAUUUAGGUAGCGCCUCGUGAAUUCAUCUCCGGGGGUAGAGCACUGUUUCGGCAAGGGGGUCAUCCCGACUUACCAACCCGAUGCAAACUGCGAAUACCGGAGAAUGUUAUCACGGGAGACACACGGCGGGUGCUAACGUCCGUCGUGAAGAGGGAAACAACCCAGACCGCCAGCUAAGGUCCCAAAGUCAUGGUUAAGUGGGAAACGAUGUGGGAAGGCCCAGACAGCCAGGAUGUUGGCUUAGAAGCAGCCAUCAUUUAAAGAAAGCGUAAUAGCUCACUGGUCGAGUCGGCCUGCGCGGAAGAUGUAACGGGGCUAAACCAUGCACCGAAGCUGCGGCAGCGACGCUUAUGCGUUGUUGGGUAGGGGAGCGUUCUGUAAGCCUGUGAAGGUGUGCUGUGAGGCAUGCUGGAGGUAUCAGAAGUGCGAAUGCUGACAUAAGUAACGAUAAAGCGGGUGAAAAGCCCGCUCGCCGGAAGACCAAGGGUUCCUGUCCAACGUUAAUCGGGGCAGGGUGAGUCGACCCCUAAGGCGAGGCCGAAAGGCGUAGUCGAUGGGAAACAGGUUAAUAUUCCUGUACUUGGUGUUACUGCGAAGGGGGGACGGAGAAGGCUAUGUUGGCCGGGCGACGGUUGUCCCGGUUUAAGCGUGUAGGCUGGUUUUCCAGGCAAAUCCGGAAAAUCAAGGCUGAGGCGUGAUGACGAGGCACUACGGUGCUGAAGCAACAAAUGCCCUGCUUCCAGGAAAAGCCUCUAAGCAUCAGGUAACAUCAAAUCGUACCCCAAACCGACACAGGUGGUCAGGUAGAGAAUACCAAGGCGCUUGAGAGAACUCGGGUGAAGGAACUAGGCAAAAUGGUGCCGUAACUUCGGGAGAAGGCACGCUGAUAUGUAGGUGAAGUCCCUCGCGGAUGGAGCUGAAAUCAGUCGAAGAUACCAGCUGGCUGCAACUGUUUAUUAAAAACACAGCACUGUGCAAACACGAAAGUGGACGUAUACGGUGUGACGCCUGCCCGGUGCCGGAAGGUUAAUUGAUGGGGUCAGCGCAAGCGAAGCUCUUGAUCGAAGCCCCGGUAAACGGCGGCCGUAACUAUAACGGUCCUAAGGUAGCGAAAUUCCUUGUCGGGUAAGUUCCGACCUGCACGAAUGGCGUAAUGAUGGCCAGGCUGUCUCCACCCGAGACUCAGUGAAAUUGAACUCGCUGUGAAGAUGCAGUGUACCCGCGGCAAGACGGAAAGACCCCGUGAACCUUUACUAUAGCUUGACACUGAACAUUGAGCCUUGAUG
rnacentral:rRNA from 1 species